GAUUAUUUCUACUUAAUGUACAAAAUUUUCUAAAGGUCUCUCCACUAUCAUUGACAAUAGUUUCUCUAUAUUCCUCUCUUCUUCUCCUUCAAAGACAAAAAAUACUUAAAAAAGUAGAAAAAAUCUUAUGAAUCAUCUGUACUAGUCAUGUAGUGAUUAUCAUCGAUCAAGAAAUCAUAAAGAGCAGAUCGAAUCCAUGGCUAGUCCUAGCAACAAAGGCAAAGGCAUAGCAGAACGAUCAUCCUCUCAACCGCAACCGCAACCCCAACCGCAACCGCAACCGCAACCGGAACCGCAACAACCACAGUCACCUCCUAACCCACCAGCGUUGAGCCGGUACGAGUCACAGAAACGGCGAGACUGGAACACGUUUUGUCAAUACCUUCGUAACCAGCAGCCACCGGUUCACAUCUCACAGUGCGGUUCGAACCACAUCCUAGACUUCCUACAGUAUCUUGACCAGUUCGGAAAGACAAAAGUUCAUGUCCAUGGAUGUACUUUUUUCGGACAAGUUGAGCCGGCUGGACAGUGUAUCUGUCCUCUAAAACAAGCGUGGGGGAGUUUAGAUGCUUUGAUCGGACGGCUGAGAGCCGCUUACGAGGAGAACGGAGGGUUGCCGGAGAGAAACCCUUUUGCCGGCGGUGGAAUUAGGGUUUUUCUUAGGGAAGUGAGAGAUUCACAGGCCAAGGCAAGAGGAGUUCCGUACAAGAAAAGGAAGAAGAAGAAGAGGAAUCCUAUGAAGAGUGGAGAUGGUACUACAGGAACUAGUAGCUCCAACUUGCCAUCUUAGCAAGCAAACAAAAAACAUAUAAUAAAACAAAUCUGAGAUUAAUUAAUGUUAAGCCUUCUUUAUGGGUGGAGGUUCUAGACUGGCUAAAUAAAAUCUACUCAGUUUGGAGUGUUUCUCAAGUUGGCUAUUCUCCUAGGAUGGCAAAGCAUGCAUAUACUGUAUCUGGAAGGAGAGAAUGAUUGGUACCAUUCGGGUCUCUCACAACCUCCUUUAAAGGUGGGUUACUAAUUCUGGGAAUACUGAAAUCCUUAGGCCUCUCUGUUGGUGAUCCUUUGCUCAACCUGUGGACAUCCCCUAACUUCAUAGUUGUGCUUUGUAAAACAAUCCAUAUUAUCAGUCUCUGAUCCUUCCCUAUCUUUCUUUUAAAUAGCUUGCCUCCUUGUAAAACUUUUUUUUAAAAUUAGUGAAAACCAUUAGUAAAGAAAAUAUAGUUAAGCUGUAUU